rnacentral:rRNA from 1 species
ACUCCUACGGGAGGCAGCAGUAGGGAAUCUUCCGCAAUGGGCGCAAGCCUGAUGGAGCAACACCGCGUGAGUGAAGAAGGGUUUCGGCUCGUAAAGCUCUGUUGUUAAAGAAGAACACGUAUGAGAGUAACUGUUCAUACGUUGACGGUAUUUAACCAGAAAGUCACGGCUAACUAUGUGCCAGCAGCCGCGGUAAUACGUAGGUGGCAAGCGUUAUCCGGAUUUAUUGGGCGUAAAGAGAGUGCAGGCGGUUUUCUAAGUCUGAUGUGAAAGCCUUCGGCUUAACCGGAGAAGUGCAUCGGAAACUGGAUAACUUGAGUGCAGAAGAGGGUAGUGGAACUCCAUGUGUAGCGGUGGAAUGCGUAGAUAUAUGGAAGAACACCAGUGGCGAAGGCGGCUACCUGGUCUGCAACUGACGCUGAGACUCGAAAGCAUGGGUAGCGAACAGGAUUAGAUACCCUGGUAGGAUAGCG